rnacentral:misc_RNA from 1 species
AUAAAGCAAUUAAACGUCAUUCAAAACUUUGUACUGAAACAUAGGAAUUGAAAUUGCUAAAAUUUAAAAACCAUAGAAAAAAAAAAUUUGUUAAUUUUUAAAACAAUAUGGAUGAAAAUGUGUUUUUAAGGCAAAAUUCAAAUGACAGGGCAUCCCAAAUAGAAAUAAGAGAAAUAAAGAGAAACAAGCACAGGGAAACUAGGACAGCUUCUGUGACUCCAAG